rnacentral:rRNA from 1 species
GACGAACGCUGGCGGCGUGCUUAACACAUGCAAGUCGAACGGAAAGGCCCUGCUUUUGUGGGGUGCUCGAGUGGCGAACGGGUGAGUAACACGUGAGUAACCUGCCCUUGACUUUGGGAUAACUUCAGGAAACUGGGGCUAAUACCGGAUAGGAGCUCCUGCUGCAUGGUGGGGGUUGGAAAGUUUCGGCGGUUGGGGAUGGACUCGCGGCUUAUCAGCUUGUUGGUGGGGUAGUGGCUUACCAAGGCUUUGACGGGUAGCCGGCCUGAGAGGGUGACCGGCCCAAAUGGGGACUGGGAACCGGCCCGGACUCUACCGGGAGGAAGCAGUGGGGAAUAUGGAACAAGGGGCGGAGGCUUGAGGAAGAAACGCCGCGUGGGGGAUGACGGCCUUCGGUUGUAAACCGCUUUCGCCUGUGACGAAGCGUGAGUGACGGUAAUGGGUAAAGAAGCACCGGCUAACUACGUG